rnacentral:lncRNA from 1 species
AAAAUAUUUCACCUGAUAUUGUAUGGAAAAACACCAAGGAGUCCCAAUAUUUGACUAGCUGAAAAUUGAAUAUAAAUACAAUAUUGAAGGACCUUCAUGUCAAAUCAGAAGUGGGUGGUCCCUAGAAGAUUUAAGGCAGGGGAUAUCCCCUAGAAGAUCUACGAGUUUUUAUGUGAAAAAUUCUGCAUUCUGAUGUUUUUCUUGUAAAUGCCCAAAACAAUCUUAAGACUGAAAAAAAAUUCUGAACAAAAAGUUCUGCAUAGCAUACAUAUAGACAAUAUAUUCAAUGACUCAUCAGUGGUCCUGAUCCAAUGACUCAUUGGGGGUCUUGAUUCAAUGACACACCAGUGGUCAUGAUUCAAUGACUCAUCAGUGGUCUUGAUUCAAUGACUCAUCAGUGAUCAUGAUUCAAUGACUCAUCAGUGGUCUCGAUUCAAUGACUCAUUAGUGGUCAUGAUUCAAUGACUCAUUAGUGGUCAUGAUUUAAUGACUCAUCAGUGGUCUCAAUUCAAUGACUCAUCAGUGGGUUCGAUUCAAUGACUCAUCAGUGGUAUCGAUUCAAUGACUCAUCAGGUGUCUUGUUUCAAUUACUCAUCAGCGGUCCCGAUUCAAUGACUCAUCAGUGGUCCCGAUCCAAUGACUCAUUGGUGGUCUUGAUUCAAUGACACAUCAGUGGUCUUCAUUCAAUGACUCAUCUGUGAUCUCAAUUCGAUGACUCAUCAGUGGUCUCUAUUCAAUGACUCAUCGGUGGUCCCGAUCCAAUGACUCAUUGGUCGUCUUGAUACAAUGACUCAUCAGUGAUCUCGAUUCAAUGACUCAUCAGGGGUCUUGUUUCAAUGACUCAUCAAUGGUCUUGAUUUAAUGACUCAUCAGUGGUCAUGAUUCAAUGACUCAUCGGUGGUCUAGAUUUAAUGACUCAUCAGUGGUCAUGAUUCAAUGACUCAUCAGUGGUCUCUAUGAAAUGACUCAUUAGUGGUCUCAAUUCAAUGACUCAUCAGUGAUCUCGA